rnacentral:tRNA from 1 species
GGUGGGAUGGCCGAGUGGUCGAUGGCGCACGCUUGGAAAGCGUGUAAUCUCGAAAGAGGUUCGAGGGUUCAAAUCCCUCUCCCACCGCCA